GCAGCGAAGAAUGCAAAGGAAAGGAAAACUGUCAUUGUACUGCCAGCACUCGCCUUCCGUGCCUCCUGCAAAGCUUGCUCCUCUCUUCUGACCUUUAAACUAGUUAUUUAUUUCAGGCUUUAAGAAGAAGAAAAGAAUCAAAGGAUCAAAUUAUCAAGGAAAUUACCAUAAUUUGUCACUCAAAGCAACAUAUCAUGUGCAUACUAAGUAGUAUUUUGAAAGCACCUUUUGGGAUAUGGAUUUUAAAUGAAGCUGGUUUCUUGGUCAGAAUGCAGCUGUUCACAUUCUCCCCCACAAAGUGAUGGGCAUCACCUACACAACCACAAGAGUAAAGCAGACUGGGAAAGCAUCGCUUAUAUUGAAAAAAAUCAUCCAUACAGAGACCAGUGUCCGAAAACAACGCCUGUAAAUGCUCUGUUAAGAACUAAGUGCAGCUGAAAACUGGCAAGGAGUGAAUGGAGGAGUAGGAGGUCUCUAGAGCAGCGCCACUGUGCUCCCAAAUGACCAUGACGGUUGGAAGUCUGUUCUCUGUGUGUCAGAACCUGUUGUCCAUGUGAACUUUCCAAUCUGAACAAAUAAAGGGGAAAUGCAGUUUCCAUGGGGACGCAGGGAUAUCUAGGAAGAGGUGAACUGACCAAGUCUAAAAGGAAAAAAAAAAAAAGAAUGAUUCAAGGUUUUUGCUAGAAAAACUAAAAUCCACAGUACUGGAAAUGCUAGUGUCAAUCUAGAUAAAACGUCCACAGAUUAGGCACAAGCAGGUAAUAAACCCAAAAAUGUCUUUAAAACCUUUUCUUAAGCUCCAGUUUCAGGGCAGCAGAGGGUUUGGGGAGUUCCCACUUACUGAGGUUAUCAUGCUCAGGGGCCAUGGAUCUGGCCAAGGGUGACAGUUGUCUCCCGUUCUUGAGAAGUAUUGUGCAACUCCGGGAGUGAUAGGAAGAACAAGCCAUUACAAUUCCUUUCUCCCUUACCUCCAAACAUUUUAUAAUUCUAAGGAGACAAUCACAUUAAAUUAAAGACUGGGAAAGGCUGGUUUUGAAACCUGGAGUAAUGGCAUACAGGCUGUAAGUCAUAUCUACACGUAGUUCUCUAAAUGCUGGCAUUUCCAUUGAAAGCAGGGACCCCUGUAAAUAGGUACUUAAUGACACUUACUAUGCCUUUAUUGCUUUUUUUUUUUUUGUGGAGCUUUCUUGAUUUCAAUAAAGCACUGUAAGUGUUCAUAACCUCCUCUUCAUAUCUCUCACUAUCUUGUGUUUCUAAUUGCUUAUUUGAUUCAUUUGUUUUGUUUCUCACCCU